ensembl:lncRNA
AACCAGACAGUUAGAAUAAAUGACCACUGAUUAAUAUAUUACUUUUAUUCAUGUUUAAACUACAUAAAAAGAAAAACAGGAGCAGUGAUUGGGAGUAAAAAAGUCUUCAAUUUGAUAACGUCGCUACGAUCGUCUCAUUUGCAAGCCGUGUUAACGUCAGAAGUAUUUUAUUCAACCUGGAGGAUUCAGUAUGCUUUUAUUUUAUUUGCCUGCCUGUAAGUAAUUCAUUAACAAUAUUCAAACACAAGACGGUAAGAUUGCUGAUGUAUUAUGCGUAUUAUGGUUUGUUUUUGUUGUUGUUGUUUUGUUGUUUUUUUUUAAAAAAAGUUUUACCUUGAAUGUAUAUUUUAUAUCAUCUUCCAAAUGAAGGCGUGUUCUGGACAGACAGCCAUUUUGAAAGAUGUUAGCUUGUUUGCCAUGUGACCAAAGUUCAAUCUCACUAUUAUUUCUGUACAUUUAUCCUUUUUCAUUUUUUUUCUUCUUUUUUUUUUUUCUAGAGACACUUAUAUUUUCUCUCAAUGCCAAGAAGCUGAGGUUUAUUUUUAUACGUCAUUGAUUCGUGCAGAUUUAUUGGUCUUUCAGUACAGAAUCGAGAAUUUGCAGUCACUCCCAUCGAAAUGUUUUACUUGACACAAAUUAUUAAAUGUAUUAAAUGUCAGAAGCAUGCCCUAUAUCAAUAACUACAUAUAAUUAAAGAUAUAAAUAUAUAUGGACCGGUUACUUUGUACAAAAACAACCUAUCUGUUUAUAAGAAUUGUUUUAAAUAUCCAAAGCCUAAUGUAUAUGAUAUUUUUAUGUUUUGGGUCUUUUUUUUUUUUAAGCAUGCAGAAAUCUGCUGAAUAGUUUAUGUUCUAUAUUUAAUGUAAUGAGUUCUAAAGGAAAAAAAUGUUGUUCUGUUGAUUUAAGAGAAGGAUUAACGCAAGCACUUUUGCUGUUUGUCAGCUAGACUUUAAACCUCUUCGGAUUUCGAGGGUGGGUGAUGGUUCAUUAUUUCAUUUGAGAUGCUGCUAUGACUAGUUUGGAGCAGAAAAGCUGUAUUUUUAAUUACUUUUUCAGCCAAGUAGCAAUAAAAAUUUAUACUGUGGAGUGUGUUUUAAGUCGUUUCUUUCAGAGAAGACAGAGAGGCGACCAUUCCAGAAAAUUCCAUUCGCGUCGAGUCUCUGCAUCUUUAAAAGCCAUUCAUACUGUGGCAAAAGAGAAGGUUCUCCGUGCGAGUAACGUCAGUAAGUAAAUAAAGUACGGAAGAUGUCGGUAAGUAAUGCAGACUGUAAAUAAAGUCGGUAAAAUAAUAAAGUCGGUAAGUAAGUUAAGUUAUGUCAGUGAGUAAAGAAAGUCUGUAAGUGAAAUAAGCCAUUACGCAAAGCAAGUAAGUUCAGUAAGUAAAUUAAGAAAGGUCAAUAAGAAAAGUACGUCAUUAAGUAGUCAGUAAGUAAAUUAAAACAUUAAGUCGGUAUCUAAAUAGAGUAAGUAAGUAAAUAGUAAAUUAAGUAAGUCAAUAAGUAAAUUAAAUUAGCAUUUAAAGUCGGUACAUAAAGUUAGUGACUAAAUAAAAUCAGUAAGUCAAGUAGGUGAAGAAAAGGUCAGUAAAUAAAUAAAGACAAGUGAGUGAAGUAAGGUCAGUAGGUAAAUAAUGACUGAGUAAAGUAAGGUCAUUAAGUAAAUAGUCAGUAGAUAAAUAAGUAAGUCAAGUCAUUGAGUAAAUUAAGUAAUCCAUUCAUAAGUCAUUAUGUAAAUAAAGUCAGUAGGUAAAUAAGUCAGUAAAGGUCAUUAUGUAAAUAAAGUCAGUAGGUAAAUAAGUCAGUAGGUAAAUAAGUCAGUAAAGUAAGGUCCUUAUGUAAACAAAGUCAGUAGGUAAAUAAGUCAGUAAAGGUCAUUAUGUAAAUAAAGUCAGUAGGUAAAUAAGUCAGUAAAGGUCAUUAUGUAAAUAAAGUCAGUAGGUAAAUAAGUCAGUAGGUAAAUAAGUCAGUAAAGGUCCUUAUGUAAAUAAAGUCAGUAGGUAAAUAAGUCAGUAGGUAAAUAAGUCAGUAAAGUAAGGUCCUUAUGUAAAUAAAGUCAGUAGGUAAAUAAGUCAGUAGGUAAAUAAGUCAGUAAAGGUCCUUAUGUAAAUAAAGUCAGUAGGUAAAUAAGUCAGUAAAGUAAGGUCCUUAUGUAAAUAAAGUCAGUAGGUAAAUAAGUCAGUAGGUAAAUAAGUCAGUAAAGUAAGGUCCUUAUGUAAAUAAAGUCAGUAGGUAAAUAAGUCAGUAGGUAAAUAAGUCAGUAAAGGUCAUUAUGUAAAUAAAGUCAGUAGGUAAAUAAGUCAGUAAAGGUCAUUAUGUAAAUAAAGUCAGUAGGUAAAUAAGUCAGUAGGUAAAUAAGUCAGUAAAGUAAGGUCCUUAUGUAAAUAAAGUCAGUAGGUAAAUAAGUCAGUAAAGGUCAUUAUGUAAAUAAAGUCAGUAGGUAAAUAAGUCAGUAAAGGUCAUUAUGUAAAUAAAGUCAGUAGGUAAAUAAGUCAGUAAGUAAAUAGUAAGUAAAGACAAAGUAAAGUAAGGUCAGUAAGUAAAUAAAUAAAGUCAUUAAGUGAAUUUAUAAAUUCGGUUAGUAAAAGUCAGUGAAGUCCAGUAAAUUUGCACGGAAAGUGUUUCUGAAGCGGUGUACUCGUCUCAGUGAAUCCUACAAAAAAGAUACACUUCCAAUUUAAUCAGAGAAUUCCACACCAGCAUCUUACGGACUUAAAUUUACUUGCUGUAGUUUGCAUCACUUACACUGUGUCCUCACUGGGAGCCUGUUAUGAGAAAAGGGAUCGUAAACCAUUAUAAUGACUGCUGUAUGUGGACUACAGAUCGAGAGACGAGCAUAAAGCUCAUCAUAAAGCGCAACAGUAACUGGACACUCGGAGGGAGAGUAUACCUGUAUAUCUGUAAAGUGCAAACUAAAUUCUUCUUUUCUGAGCCUGUUCCUAUUUGUGUAAACUGGCAUCAGUUUAAAUUCUCACUCCCACUCCUCAAAUGUAUGCCACCCUUGGUCAAUUUAAAAAAAUCUUAUC